rnacentral:lncRNA from 1 species
AAGAGCACACUACUCCUGUUGCUGACUGGCAAGCUGACACCGGUGAGUCCAGCAUGGUGCCAGGGACAGUGUGUCCUUGUAGACUGAUGAGAAGUGUGUAAGCUGGAGGGCACACGCAGAGAUGGACUUCGGGGCUUUCUCAGGCGUCCACACUGUUUGCCAGCAGCAUAGGGUGGAAGCUCUGCACCGCACACCUGGUGUAGACUUGUCCUUUGGGUUAUAAUUCACGCUGUGUCCUCAGGGCCCUGCUGAGUUACCCAGAGGGCCUCAGAUUUGCUGUCCUCUUCACUUUCUUAGCUUCUUAAGUAGCUGAGAUUUCAGGACUGUGCCACCCACCCAGCUUCAUUUGCAGUAACUGUAAGGGAAACUGUUGUCCUCCAUCCCCUUCCAGUCCCCUCCCCCUCAGUCCCCUCCCUCUUCAGGGUCCUCCAUCCUCCUUCAGAGCCCCCAGUCCCUGAGUACCUAUUUUUCCCUUUCUUUCACUUAUGUAUGCCCAACCCAGCCCUGAUGUUUGUUUGUCUCUGAGAAACCCUGGUAUUUGGUUCUCUUUGAAAACUUUGAGAUUAGACCUAGUAGUGCCCACUCAAUAAACUCUGCACAGGGGAGGCUGAGACAGGAGGAUUGCUGUGAAUUCAAAGCCAGCCUGAGCUGCAGAGUGAGGCUUUGUCCAAAAAAGAAAAGAGAAACUGAACUUUGGUGCCUCCCCCUCCCAUCCUGCUCUCACCCUUGUUUUUCCUUGCAGACCAACGGGGAAAUGAGGAAGAACCAUCGGCUGGUAAGCUGGCCUUGGGAACUGGCGUGGAAGUCAGGCAGGAAGCAGGCAGGAGACUCUUGACUGACCGCCUCCCUGUGUUUUCGGGCAGAAAAUCGGCUUCUUUAACCAGCAGUAUGCAGAGCAGCUGCACAUGGAGGAGACGCCCACCGAGUACCUGCAGCGGGGCUUCAACCUGCCCUAUCAGGAUGCCCGGAAGUGCUUGGGCCGCUUCGGCCUGGAGAGCCACGCCCACACCAUCCAGAUCUGCAAACUCUCGGGUACCGCCAUUCUGGGGCUCUCUCUGGAAGCUGGAGGGAGUGCAGCGCAGAUGGGGAGCCUGUGUCCCAAGUGCAUCCAUAGGGUUGCCCUUUUGCAGGCAGGGGCAGGCGUCUCAGUGUUGUUCCUUUUGUGGCAGGCGGGCAGAAAGCCCGAGUUGUGUUUGCGGAGCUGGCCUGUCGGGAGCCUGAUGUCCUCAUCUUGGUGAGUGGGCAGCCAUAGAAGGGUUUGAGGGUUAGAGCUG